rnacentral:rRNA from 1 species
AGUGAACGCUGGCGGUAGGCCUAACACAUGCAAGUCGAACGGCAGCACAGUAAGAGCUUGCUCUUACGGGUGGCGAGUGGCGGACGGGUGAGGAAUACAUCGGAAUCUACUUUUUCGUGGGGGAUAACGUAGGGAAACUUACGCUAAUACCGCAUACGACCUACGGGUGAAAGCAGGGGAUCUUCGGACCUUGCGCGAUUGAAUGAGCCGAUGUCGGAUUAGCUAGUUGGCGGGGUAAAGGCCCACCAAGGCGACGAUCCGUAGCUGGUCUGAGAGGAUGAUCAGCAACACUGGAACUGAGGCACGGUCCAGACUCCUACGGGAGGCAGCAGUGGGGAAUAUUGGACAAUGGGCGCAAGCCUGAUCCAGCCAUACCGCGUGGGUGAAGAAGGCCUUCGGGUUGUAAAGCCCUUUUGUUGGGAAAGAAAAGCAGCAGGUUAAUACCCCGCUGUUCUGACGGUACCCAAAGAAUAAGCACCGGCUAACUUCGUG